UACGGAGGGUCCGAGCGUUAUCCGGAAUCAUUGGGUUUAAAGGGUCCGUAGGCGGGAAUCUAAGUCAGUGGUGAAAUCUUGCAGCUCAACUGUAAAAUUGCCAUUGAUACUGGAUUUCUUGAAUUAGUGUGAAGUGGUUAGAAUGUGUAGUGUAGCGGUGAAAUGCAUAGAUAUUACACAGAAUACCAAUUGCGAAGGCAGAUCACUAACACUAUAUUGACGCUGAGGGACGAAAGCGUGGGGAGCGAACGGG
rnacentral:rRNA from 1 species